rnacentral:rRNA from 1 species
AGGAUCAUUACAGUAUGAUUAGGGGGUUAGAUGCUGGCCCGUGAGGGCAUGUGCGCACCCCCAUCUUCUAAUCCCACACACACCUGUGCACCUAUGGAGAGCGCCUCCCAUCUUGGAGUCGUCUGGCGUCCUUCUCUCUCUUCGGAGGGUGGGGGAGGCUGGACUGGGGUGCUCUCUCCUUUUACAUCUCAGCCUGUUAAAAUGCAUGUCUUUUGAGCCCUACGGGGGUGGAAAAUUGUAAUACAACUUUCAACAACGGAUCUCUUGGCUUUCGCAUCGAUGAAGAACGCCGCGAAAGUGCGAAACGUAAUGUGAAUUGCAGAAUUCAGUGAAUCAUCGAAUCUUUGAACGCAUCUUGCGCUCCUUGGUAUUCCGAGUAGCAUGCCUGUUUGAGUGUCGUGAAACCCUCUCGACCCUCCUUCUUUGCUGAAGGAGGGUUGGAUUUGGACGCUUGCGGUGGGUUCCCAUCGCUCGUCUCUAAAUGCAUCAGCUGGUCCCAUAGAGUUGGUUUGACGAUGGUGUGAUAAUAUACACUUUUUGUUGACUGUGGCGCCGUCCUAGGCCGACUCUGAACCGGGCCGCUCAUAGCCGUCUUCGGACAAUGAUUUCAUGUCAUCUGACCUCAAAUCAGGUAGGACUACC